AGCAGCCGCGGUAAUUCCAGCUCCAAUAGCGUAUAUUAAAGUUGUUGCAGUUAAAAAGCUCGUAGUUGAAUUUCGGGGUUAGUAGGCUGGUCGUGCCACCGGUACGUACUGGUCUUACUGAUUCCUCCUUCCUGAUGAAUUGUAAUGCCAUUAAUUUGGUGUUGCAGGGAAUCUGGACUGUUACUUUGAAAAAAUUAGAGUGUUUAAAGCAGGCUAACGCUUGAAUACAUUAGCAUGGAAUAAUGAAAUAGGACGUUCGAUCCUAUUUUGUUGGUUUCUAGGAUUGACGUAAUGAUUAAUAGGGAUAGUUGGGGGCAGUUAGUAUUCAAUUGUCAGAGGUGAAAUUCUUGGAUUUAUUGAAGACUAACUACUGCGAAAGCAUUUGCCAAGGAUGUUUUCAUUAAUCAAGAACGAAAGUUAGGGGAUCGAAGACGAUCAGAUACCGUCGUAGUCUUAACCAUAAACUAUGCCGACUAGGGAUCGGAUGAUGUUAAUUUUUAAUGACUCAUUCGGCGCCUUA
rnacentral:rRNA from 1 species